rnacentral:rRNA from 1 species
AGGAAGAUCCCCCACACUGGUACUGAGACACGGACCAGACUCCUACGGGAGGCAGCAGUGAGGAAUAUUGGUCAAUGGGCGAGAGCCUGAACCAGCCAUCCCGCGUGCAGGAAGAAUGCCCUAUGGGUUGUAAACUGCUUUUUCGCAUGAAGAACACCCCUGACGUGUCAGGGGCUGACGGUAAUGCGUGAAUAAGCACCGGCUAACUCCGUGCCAGCAGCCGCGGUAAUACGGAGGGUGCAAGCGUUAUCCGGAUUUAUUGGGUUUAAAGGGUGCGUAGGCGGCUUUUUAAGUCAGUGGUGAAAUCCUGCAGCUCAACUGUAGAACAGCCAUUGAAACUGAAGAGCUUGAGUAAUCUUGAGGUAGGCGGAAUGUGUAGUGUAGCGGUGAAAUGCUUAGAUAUUACACAGAACACCGAUUGCGAAGGCAGCUUACUAAGGAUUUACUGACGCUGAUGCACGAAAGCGUGGGGAUCAAACAGGAUUAGAUACCCUGGUAGUCCACGCCGUAAACGAUGAUAACUCGCUGUUGGCGAUACACAGUCAGCGGCUUAGCGAAAGCG